rnacentral:lncRNA from 1 species
AGGAAUUCACACUUAUCGUAAAGAAUAUUUGACACCACUAGCAAAUGUAUGGUUCUAUUUCAUUCGAUUCAGCCUUAUGCCUAUUUCACAUGGUACUACAAUUUCAUUAGAGCAAAUGAUCUUAUUAUACUUGAUUUUAACUAGAAAGACCAUUGAUGUGGGAAAAAUCAUUCUAAGAGAAAUGCGAAAUUUUGCCGCUAAAGAUCUAGCCC